CUGAGUGAUGCUAAAUAUUGCA
rnacentral:misc_RNA from 1 species